rnacentral:rRNA from 1 species
GACGAACGCUGGCGGCGCGCUUAACACAUGCAAGUCGAACGGAAGGGCCUGCUUUCCCUUGUGGAUUGCGGGUACUCGAGUGGCGAACGGGUGAGUAACACGUGAGUGAUCUGCCCCCAACUUGGGUAUAAGCCUGGGAAACUGGGUCUAAUUCCCGAUAGGACUGCAGGGUGGUGCCUGUGGUGGAACACGAUUUUCUAGUGGUUGGGGAUGAGCUCGCGGCCUAUCAGCUUGUUGGUGGGGUAAUGGCCUACCAAGGCGGCGACGGGUAGCCGGCCUGAGAGGGUGGACGGCCACAUUGGGACUGAGAUACGGCCCAGACUCCUACGGGAGGCAGCAGUGGGGAAUAUUGCACAAUGGGCGGAAGCCUGAUGCAGCGACGCCGCGUGGGGGAUGACGGCCUUCGGGUUGUAAACUCCUUUCGACCGCGAGGAAGCCACCUGGUUGGAAGGGUGGUGACGGUAGUGGUAGAAGAAGCACCGGCUAACUACGUG